GGCCUGGCACUCGCCCGUUCCCUUGGAACUUGGCCCCGUCCCCUCCCAGCAGGCCUGCACUUGUGAGUCACCAAGGAGGGUCCUCAGAUCUGCCCCCCAGACUUUUGGGAGUCCCCGUGUGUGGCAGGGGCCUCACCUCGGCCUCUGUCUUCUAGUCACGGAUAAUUUGGGUGUGAGCAGACCGAGACCUUGCCCUAACCCGGCCAAGCCUCUCUCCCAAUCGGCCAAGGCGCAGCCAGCUCUGCGGGCGGGCAGCUGGGGAACUGCGGCGUAACAUGAGCAAGACCGAAAUGCCAGCUCUGGGGAGGAAUGAUACAGAGCUGCAGAGUAUAAGACUGUUUGGAAAGGACCGCAAGGCACCAGCUCCGGAGCGGGAAGACAGGGAACAGGAAGCACCUUGCGACACUUCCGAUCCAUAAUGGGUGUACUUCCGUCUCCACUGUGGCAUGGCGGAAAUAAAAGUAAUAUUUGACGGAG